UGAGUCCUGCAGUGUUGAACUCACAGGACUAUAAACCUUCUCAGUUCUCUGGAGGAUCAGCUGAUGAUGCAAAGCCUCCUCUCUAUGGAAAUGAUUUCUCUGCUCUCAACACACUGAGGGCAAUGUGGGGCACAGAAUCAGAAGAAAAAUUGUUUGAGUUAAUACCAUUAAUAAUUUCAUGCAGUAGAGAAAAACAUAUUUGGAAACAUAUUUACGUAUUUUUAACACCUGGAUUAAAAUGGCACUCUGGUUCAUUUUCAGGGGUUAGAGGUUUGUUCAGAGUGCAGGAGGUUUUUGUACGGCCACUUAAUGAGUUUGUAUCACUGUGGAGGACUUUUGGUGGAGGAACCAAACUCAUCGUUGGCUCGGGUGUGGUGAGACCCACCCUCACAGUCCUCCCUCCAUCCAAAGAGGAAGACAAACAGAGUAGUGCCACUGUGGUGUGUUUGGCCACCGGGGGCUUCCCCUCAAACUGGAAUUUGGGCUGGAAGGUGGGGAGCACCAGCACAUCCUCAGGGGUGUCAACCAGCCUUGAAGUCUUGGGGACAGACGGCCGCUACAGCUGGAGCAGCACCCUGAGUCUCUCUGCAGACCAGUGGAGGAAGGCGGGCUCAGUGAUCUGUGAGGCCAGUCUGAGUGGUCAGAGCCCCGUCACUCAAACCCUGGACCCUGACCACUGCUCAGAGUAGAGCUUCAGCAACACUUCCUGUCUGCAUAUGAUGUGUUUUAUAAGUUUGAUGAAGCUACAUGUUUCUGCUGUUGCGAUAUUUCUGCAAACAUUUGACUUUCUUAUGAUGUGCAUGCUAAGUUUAUCAGCUAAUAUUAUCCAUGUUGACUUUAAAACCAUGGUGUAAAAAAAGUAAAAAACACAAAAUAAAAUCACAGCUUAUGAAAAAUCA